AGAGUUUGAUCCUGGCUCAGAUUGAACGCCGGCGGUAUGCUUAACACAUGCAAGUCGAACGGAAACGAUGGUAGCUUGCUACCAGGCGUCGAGUGGCGGACGGGUGAGUAACGCGUAGGAAUCUGCCUGAUAGUGGGGGAUAGCCCAGAGAAAUCUGGAUUAAUACCGCAUAAUCUCUAUGGAGUAAAGGAGCCCUCUUCUUGAAAGGUUUCGCUAUCAGAUGAGCUUGCGUAAGAUUAGCUUGUUGGUGAGGUAAAAGCUCACCAAGGCGACGAUCUUUAGCUGGUCUGAGAGGAUGAUCAGCCACACUGGAACUGAGACACGGUCCAGACUCCUACGGGAGGCAGCAGUGGGGAAUAUUGGACAAUGGGCGCAAGCCUGAUCCAGCAAUACCGCGUGUGUGAAGAAGGCCUGAGGGUUGUAAAGCACUUUCAAUUGUGAAGAAAAGCUAAUGGCUAAUACCCAUUAGCCUUGACGUUAACUUUAGAAGAAGCACCGGCUA
rnacentral:rRNA from 1 species